UCUGCGGUGGGUACGGGCAGACUUGAGUGAUGUAGGGGAGACUGGAAUUCCUGGUGUAGCGGUGAAAUGCGCAGAUAUCAGGAGGAACACCGAUGGCGAAGGCAGGUCUCUGGGCAUUAACUGACGCUGAGGAGCGAAAGCAUGGGGAGCGAACAGGAUUAGAUACCCUGGUAGUCCAUGCCGUAAACGUUGGGCACUAGGUGUGGGGGACAUUCCACGUUUUCCGCGCCGUAGCUAACGCAUUAAGUGCCCCGCCUGGGGAGUACGGCCGCAAGGCUAAAACUCAAAGGAAUUGACGGGGGCCCGCACAAGCGGCGGAGCAUGCGGAUUAAUUCGAUGCAACGCGAAGAACCUUACCAAGGCUUGACAUGAACCGGAACGGCGCAGAGAUGUGUCGGCCACUUGUGGCCGGUUUACAGGUGGUGCAUGGUUGUCGUCAGCUCGUGUCGUGAGAUGUUGGGUUAAGUCCCGCAACGAGCGCAACCCUCGUUCCAUGUUGCCAGCGGGUUAUGCCGGGGACUCAUGGGAGACUGCCGGGGUCAACUCGGAGGAAGGUGGGGACGACGUCAAAUCAUCAUGCCCCUUAUGUCUUGGGCUUCAC
rnacentral:rRNA from 1 species